UACGUAGGGGGCAAGCGUUGUCCGGAAUUAUUGGGCGUAAAGCGCGCGUAGGUGGUUUGUUAAGUUGGAUGUGAAAGCCCCGGGCUCAACCUGGGAACUGCCUUUGUGACUGCAAGGCUAGAGUACGGCAGAGGGGGAUGGAAUUCCGCGUGUAGCAGUGAAAUGCGUAGAUAUGCGGAGGAACACCGAUGGCGAAGGCAAUCCCCUGGGCCUGUACUGACGCUGAGGCGCGAAAGCGUGGGUAGCAAACAGG
rnacentral:rRNA from 1 species